UGCCAACUCUAGCCCAAUCCCCUACAACCAAGCAUGCAUAAUAAUCUACUAAAUCUUUAAACUAAAACAUUCUUCCGACUCAGUAUAGGUGAUAGAAAGGUCAUUAGGCGCCAUAGAGAUCCGUACCGUAAGGGAAAGAUGAAAUAGCAGUGAACAAGCCAAGCAACAAACAGCAAAGAUAAACCCUUGUACCUCUUGCAUCAUGAUCUAGCCAGAAUAACCAAGCAAAGUGAACUUAAGCUUGCCGCCCCGAAACCUAAGCGAGCUACUUGCAAGCAGCUACCCAUGAGCGAACCCGUCUCUGUUGCAAAAGAGUGGGAUGACUUGCUAGUAGAGGUGAAAAGCCAAUCGAGCUAGGUGAUAGCUGGUUACCUGUAAACGAAUCUAAGUUCAACCUUGGUACCUCCUCCAGGAAC
rnacentral:rRNA from 1 species